GCGGGUGUAGUUUAAUGGUAAAACUCAGCCUUCAAGCUGGCUACGGAGUUCGAUUCUCCUCACCCGCUCAA
rnacentral:tRNA from 1 species